CGGCUAUGAGCUCCAAAGUUGAGAAACAUAUUUGCUGAACCCUUUUCCUUAAAUUACAUUUAUAGAAAUAGGAAAAAUGGAAUAUCUCCAUUAGGCAGCAUUUAAAAGCACUGAAGAAGUGUAGGGAUGUGAAAACACUUCUAAAAAAGCAAGUUUGGGCCGGGCGCGGUGGCUCAAGCCUGUAAUCCCAGCACUUUGGGAGGCCGAGAUGGGCGGAUCACGAGGUCAGGAGAUCGAGACCAUCCUGGCUAACAGGGUGAAACCCCGUCUCUACUAAAAACACAAAAAAUGAGCUGGGCGUGGUGGCGGGCGCCUGUAGUCCCAGCUACUCGGGAGGCUGAGGCAGGAGAAUGGCGUGAACCCGGGAGGCGGAGCUUGCAGGAGAAUGGCGUGAACCCGGGAGGCGGAGCUUGCAGUGAGCUGAGAUCCGGCCACUGCACUCCAGCCUGGGUGACAGAGCCAGACUCCGUCUCAAAAAAAAAAAAAAAAAAAAAACCACAAACAAACCAGAAAGUGACUGGCAUUGACAAGCAGAUAUCCCCAUGUACUCCCUUGAAGUGGCCACUUGGGCCUUUGAAAUGAGCGGAUAUGGGUGUAUUGUAACAGGGCAGAGAUGGGCUGAAUGUAGGGAUGUUUCUUUUGCACCUUCUCAGGCACAAAAUGCCAGAAAGAACUGUUCUGUUUCUCAAUAAGAAAGUCAGAGAGUUGGGCCGGGCGCGGUGGCUCAAGCCUGUAAUCCCAGCACUUUGGGAGGCCGAGACGGGCGGAUCACGAGGUCAGGAGAUCGAGACCAUCCUUGCUAACACGGUGAAACCCCGUCUCUACUAAAAAAUUACAAAAAACUAGCCGGGUGAGGUGGCGGGCGCCUGUAGUCCCAGCUACUCGGGAGGUUGAGGCAGGAGAAUGGCGUGAACCCGGGAGGCGGAGCUUGCAGUGAGCCGAGAUCUGGCCACUGCACUCCAGCCUGGGUGACAGGGUGAAACUGCGACACUCCGCCUCACAAAAAAAAAAAAAAAAAAAAAAAAGAAAGUCAGAGAGUUUUGAUGGCUAUGGGUGAGAUUCUCUGUGGGAAGGCCCUGAACAUAGCUGACAAGUGAGACAAAUGCUGGUAGCCCUGGAGGGCUACAAAUGGGUCUUGACAGGAAUAGACACUGGCUAUGGAGUGGAUGUUGCUUGCCCAGAAGAUGAAAAUUCUCCGAGUGCAAUAAAAAACCAGAACAGAAGAUAUUACAUGGAUAUAGAUGGCUAACCAUAAUUUUUUCAGACCAAGGAACACAGUGUACAGUCCAUAACAAUAGUCCAACAAUGGACAAAGAAAUAUCCUCCUAGAGUAAUAGUUUGAUAGAGAAGUAGAGCAGGCAAUUGAAACAUUGAUUGUGUAAUAAAAGCACAAAGGGCU
rnacentral:lncRNA from 1 species